rnacentral:misc_RNA from 1 species
AAUCCCCACUAGGUUCUACAGUGAUUCCAACAGAUCAAAUUUUGGUGCUAAUUUUAUAGUCAAUGACCCAAAAGUAUGAAGAUAUACAAAUAAGUACCAUGUCUUUAACAAACUAAACCUACAAGGUAUAGCCUAACUUGUUUAAAACUUUUCAUGUGCGCUCAAAUAUUCUGGGUUGGUUAUGAGUUAUAACCUUCCAUAACGAUAAUGACUCGGAGCUAAUAACAAAAUCAAAG